AUUGAACGCUGGCGACAGGCCUAACACAUGCAAGUCGAACGAGUGGCGGACGGGUGAGUAAUGUCUGGGAAACGGCCUGAUGGAGGGGGAUAACUACUGGAAACGGUAGCUACUACCGCAUACCAGCGGCUGUGCCCAGAUGGGAUGUGCGAGGAGGUGGGGUAACGGCUCACCUAGGCGACGAUCUCUAGUUGGUCUGAGAGGAUGACCAGCCACACUGGAACUGAGACACGGUCCAGACUCCUACGGGAGGCAGCAGUGGGGAAUAUUGCACAAUGGGCGCAAGCCUGAUGCAGCCAUGCCGCGUGUAUGAAGAAGGCCUUCGGGUUGUAAAGUACUUUCAGCGAGGAGGCGUUACUCGCAGAAGAAGCACCGGCUAACUCCGUGCCAGCCGCCGCGGUAAUUC
rnacentral:rRNA from 1 species